UAGAGAUAGAGCUUUCCCCUUCGGGGGACAAAGUGACAGGUGGUGCAUGGUUGUCGUCAGCUCGUGUCGUGAGAUGUUGGGUUAAGUCCCGCAACGAGCGCAACCCUUAAGCUUAGUUGCCAUCAUUAAGUUGGGCACUCUAGGUUGACUGCCGGUGACAAACCGGAGGAAGGUGGGGAUGACAUCAAAUCAUCAUGCCCCUUAUGAUUUGGGCUACACACGUGCUACAAUGGACAAUACAAAGGGCAGCUAAACCGCGAGGUCAUGCAAAUCCCAUAAAGUUGUUCUCAGUUCGGAUUGUAGUCUGCAACUCGACUACAUAAAGCUGGAAUCGCUAGUAAUCGUAGAUCAGCAUGCUACGGUGAAUACGUUCCCGGGUCUUGUACACACCGCCCGUCACACCACGAGAGUUUGUAACACCCGAAGCCGGUGGAGUAACCAUUUAUGGAGCUAGCCGUCGAAGGUGGGGCAAAUGAUUGGGGUGAAGUCGUAACAAGGUAGCCGUAUCGGAAGGU
rnacentral:rRNA from 1 species